rnacentral:rRNA from 1 species
CCCCCGCAGGGGGAUAACCGGGAGAAAUCCCGACUAAUACCGCGUAACGCCGCGGGGCUGCAUGGCCCCGCGGCCAAAGGAAGCGAUUCCGGCGGGGGAUGGGCAUGCGGCGCAUUAGCUAGUCGGCGGGGUAACGGCCCACCGAGGCGACGAUGCGUAGGGGUUCUGAGAGGAAGGUCCCCCACACUGGUACUGAGACACGGACCAGACUCCUACGGGAGGCAGCAGUGAGGAAUAUUGGUCAAUGGGCGUAAGCCUGAACCAGCCAAGUCGCGUGAGGGAAGACGGCCCUACGGAUUGUAAACCUCUUUUGCCGGGGAGCAACGGGGUCCUUGCGAGGGCCUUAUGAGAGUACCCGGAGAAAAAGCAUCGGCUAACUCCGUGCCAGCAGCCGCGGUAAUACGGAGGAUGCGAGCGUUAUCCGGAUUUAUUGGGUUUAAAGGGUGCGUAGGCGGGCUGUUAAGUCAGCGGUCAAAUGUCGGGGCUCAACCCCGGCCUGCCGUUGAAACUGGCGGCCUCGAGUGGGCGAGAAGUAUGCGGAAUGCGUGGUGUAGCGGUGAAAUGCAUAGAUAUCACGCAGAACUCCGAUUGCGAAGGCAGCAUACCGGCGCCCGACUGACGCUGAGGCACGAAAGCGUGGGUAUCGAACAGGAUUAGAUACCCUGGUAGU